CCACCUUCCUGUUUUCUGCCCAGUGGAGCCUCCAGAGAGGUGCGUGUUUAACCAUAGGCACCUAACUGAGCUCAGAGAAAUGGACAGUCAGACUAAGGGGGGAUAUUCUGUUGUUGCAAGUUUUACUUAAAAUACAGGCUGCCACCUCCAGCUCUGUUCCCAAGGUUGUUCCUGGGCUACAAGCCAUUGUGUGGAAAGGCUUUGAAGAUCUGGAAUUCAGCUGUAAUGGGUGUGAUUAGUUUAUCUCCCUCCAUAUUUAUGCAGUUUUUUAAAGCAACAGAUAAAACUAGCUUAAGAACAAAUGGUUAUAAACAGAUUGUGGGCUUGGGCUGGAAGAGAGAAGGGGGAGAAGAUGGAUAAGAGUUUUUGUUUUUCUGGCUAGAAUAGUGGGACAAGAAAUUAAAUCAUCCUUGAGAUGGACAUGGAUUAGUUUUCCAGUUGCCUGUGUGGCACUAGAUGAUCUGGCUGACUGCUUUUGCAAGGGGAAAAGACUUGCUGGUGAAGUCUUGUAUUUUGUCCCAUGUAAGUCUGAUGCCAGACCCUAAAACAAAAUUGCUUGUUCUUCUGCAGCAUUGGUAAUUCCAGUGGUGGUUUUUGCUUAUGUAGCUGGUAGAUACUGCUACAUAUCUUCUGCAAAAGACCAGGUCUGUUCUGAAACCUUUUUUCUCUUUAGAUGUAUUAAGUGGCACUGUUGGGAAGAAGCCCAAGUUUUACAGUCAGGAAACAAAACACUUGUUCUCUGGUGCUCCCUGUACACCAAAGAAACUAUUUGAUUCAGUCGAGAAGAAAGAAGAGAUGCAAACAGAUCAGGAAAUGGAUGAUGAGGAUGAUGUAUUUUAUUCUGAGAUACAUCAUGAAGAUAUUGCUGCCUCAGGAGUGAUUACUGCAUUUGAAAGCUUCAUCAGCCAACGAAAGAAACUGUUCUGGGUAAUGUGCGCUCUCUUAACGUGUACACCAUGGGUGAAAUUUUCUCGUAAACACAACUGCCUUUCAACAAUCGGUGCAAAUAUCCAAUCUAUAUUUUAUGCCCAAGAGUUUUGGCUGCAGUGUCUGUUAGCCUGGAGCUCUUCUAAGUGUUUUGCACAGCCCCUGUGCUCUCAGAAGUCCUAGAGGAAGGGCAAGGAGUGACUCUUAAGGGAAGCUUCAAUUAGGUUCUUCCUUUUUUCUCAUUUUUGUGUUGGAACGUAAGACUUGUUUAGGUGUUUAAAAUACUUUCAUUAGAAGGAAUGGAUUUUUUUUGAAGACUAACUCAGCAUAGUGGCAGCACACCUAAAUUGUAGCCAUUGGUAUUUGUUCUCUUGGGGCAAAUAUCAGGCAUAGGAAAACUUAAUUUUGGAUCACAGAGUUUAUUAUCUCAGCAUAAAAACUACAGAGGUUUUUUAUAAUGGAAAAGGAGAAAGCAAUGCAGGCUGCACUGAUUGACUACAACAUGUGGAUCCAUAAGGGCAUGCUGGUUCCCUCCAGAUUAGUGGUUUGCUGGUGGUGGUUUCACAGUUAGUAGUAUUGGUGAUUAUUGUUGGCUUGCUCCACAGUCUAGACAUACCUGACAUGUAGCGUGUGUAAUUGUUACUGUUGACUGAGCUGUAACAUGUCAGCAUUAAACCAAGCUUAAUAUGAGAGGACAAUAUCUGGCCCAUCAUGAAUCUUGUAUGUUUUAAAAGCUUUAAACAAACCAGAUGUGUCAGAGCACACCUUAUACUGGGCUGAUGCUCUGUAUCAUGCAACAGUGAUUUAUUUUUUUUGAGUUCGCAUUAGGUUCUAACGCUUAAUUUCUGGUACUAGCCAUUGAGUCGAGGCUGAAGGUGGCUGCACUUACAAGUCAGUUAUGAUGAAAAUACACAUAGUUUGUAUUCAUGCUGAAGUGGUGCUAACAAAGACCUGACUUUGUGCAGCUGCUAAGUGUGUCAGAGUUUAGUGAAGUUCACUGUUUUGCUGGCUGGCUAGCAGGAUCCUGACCUGAAAUCACAUGGGUUACACAGAUCUGUUGGUGUGAGUAGUGUGGCUGAACAAAACCAGUUCAUGCUCACAGCAUUUUGCCUGUGUUGCUAUCUCCCUUUAAAGUGCUGCUUGCUAUCUCCCUCUAGUUUAACUCUGACUUAGGAUGGUUUCAGCUGAGCGCGCCCCACAGGGCAGUGUGUGCUCCAGGGAAAUGCUUUGCAAACUGGAUUUUUAGGUUUGGGGUUGGGCUGUUGCCUGUCCCUGAUGGUGCAUCCUGUGGUUAGUCCAGGUACAAAAAGAUGGAGAUGCGUGCCCAGAACGCACUGAGGGCUUCUGAGGAGACCAUGUCUAUCCUGCUGAACCAGAUACAUGAGCGCAGGUGAGCUGUCUGCUGCUGGCUGAAAACAGCUUUAGCUCCAUGUGAAUUCUGAUUGGUAUGAAAUAGAAAUGCCUCUUUGUAGCAGAGCCUGACCUUCACAGCUUUUAAGGCAGAAAAGGUUGUUUGUGCCUCUAACUGUUCUGUAAGUGGAGUUUCAGAUGUGUAGCUCCGGUGUUCUGUCCCGCUCCUCUUGUAAGAGCAGAGAGUUAAUACAAAGAAGGCUUGAGUUAGGAGUGGCUGAUUUAGACAGUCUAAAGAGUGCUUCUUGCUGUCGUCAUUGUUUGCAAAUCUGUUAAAAAUCCUCUUGGUACACUUAGUAGCUUCUGUUGCUGUGUUUUUAAGAGUGAACAAACAAGCCAGGCUGACUUUAUUAGUGAACUGGGUGAGAAUAAAAG
ensembl:lncRNA